rnacentral:rRNA from 1 species
UAGAUACUGAUGAGCGGCGAACGGGUGAGUAACGCGUGGAUAACCUGCCUUAUAGAGGGGGAUAACUAUUGGAAACGAUAGCUAAUACCGCAUAACAACUUAGUACUCAUGUACUAAGUUUAAAAGUAGCAAUUGCUACGCUGUGAGAUGGAUCCGCGCUGUAUUAGCUAGUUGGUAAGGUAACGGCUUACCAAGGCGAUGAUACAUAGCCGACCUGAGAGGGUGAUCGGCCACACUGGGACUGAGACACGGCCCAGACUCCUACGGGAGGCAGCAGUAGGGAAUCUUCGGCAAUGGACGGAAGUCUGACCGAGCAACGCCGCGUGAGUGAAGAAGGUUUUCGGAUCGUAAAACUCUGUUGUAAGAGAAGAACACUGAGGAGAGUGGAAAGCUCCUUAGUUGACGGUAACUUACUAGAAAGUCACGGCUAACUACGUGCCAGCAGCCGCGGUAAUACGUAGGUGGCAAGCGUUGUCCGGAUUUAUUGGGCGUAAAGCGAGCGCAGGCGGAUCAUUAAGUCUGAUGUAAAAGGCAAUGGCUUAACCAUUGUAAGCAUUGGAAACUGGUGACCUUGAGUGCAGUAGAGGAGAGUGGAAUUCCAUGUGUAGCGGUGAAAUGCGUAGAUAUAUGGGAGGAACACCG